rnacentral:rRNA from 1 species
GGAGGGAUCAUUACCGAGUUUACAACUCCCAAACCCCAUGUGAACAUACCUGUUUCGUUCCCUCGGCGGUGUCCGGCAACGGCCCGCCAGAGGACCCAACAAACUCUUUUGAAUUUUUCAGUAUCUUCUGAGUGAAAAAAAACAAUAAAUCAAAACUUUCAACAACGGAUCUCUUGGUUCUGGCAUCGAUGAAGAACGCAGCGAAAUGCGAUAAGUAAUGUGAAUUGCAGAAUUCAGUGAAUCAUCGAAUCUUUGAACGCACAUUGCGCCCGCCAGUAUUCUGGCGGGCAUGCCUGUUCGAGCGUCAUUUCAACCCUCAAGCACCUUCGGGAGCUUGGUGUUGGGGAUCGGCAGGGCGUCCUCCGGGUCGCGCCGUCCCCCAAAUCUAGUGGCGGUCUCGCUGUAGCUUCCUCUGCGUAGUAAUACACCUCGCUCUGGAGUCUCGGUGCGGCCACGCCGUUAAACCCCCAACUUUUUUCUGGUUGACCUCGAAUCAGGUAGGACUACCCGCUGAACUUAAGCA